AUUGAACGCUGGCGGCAUGCCUUACACAUGCAAGUCGAACGGCAGCACGGGUGCUUGCACCUGGUGGCGAGUGGCGAACGGGUGAGUAAUACAUCGGAACAUGUCCUGUAGUGGGGGAUAGCCCGGCGAAAGCCGGAUUAAUACCGCAUACGAUCUACGGAUGACAGCGGGGGACCUUCGGGCCUCGCGCUAUAGGGUUGGCCGAUGGCUGAUUCGCUAGUUGGUGGGGUAAAGGCCUACCAAGGCGACGAUCAGUAGCUGGUCUGAGAGGACGACCAGCCACACUGGGACUGAGACACGGCCCAGACUCCUACGGGAGGCAGCAGUGGGGAAUUUUGGACAAUGGGCGAAAGCCUGAUCCAGCAAUGCCGCGUGUGUGAAGAAGGCCUUCGGGUUGUAAAGCACUUUUGUCCGGAAAGAAAUACUUGGCUCUAAUACAGUCGGGGGAUGACGGUACCGGAAGAAUAAGCACCGGCUAACUACGUG
rnacentral:rRNA from 1 species